GGCUGGUCUGAAGGUAAUGAGUUAUCUCACUUGGUUAUUCACACUGAGUUACGGAUUGAACUCCUUGUUCUACUCUUUACCCCCUUCUCACUACUGCACUUGACUAGUCUUAA
rnacentral:Y_RNA from 1 species